AGAGUUUGAUCAUGGCUCAGGAUGAACGCUAGCGACAGGCCUAACACAUGCAAGUCGAGGGGCAUCGGGACGUAGCAAUACGUUGCCGGCGACCGGCGGAUGGGUGAGUAACGCGUAUGCAACCUACCCGCAGCAGGGGGAUAGCCCGUUGAAAGACGGAUUAAUACCCCGUAACACAGGGGCUCCGCAUGGAGAUUAUUGUUAAAGGGUCAUUUCUUUUUCAGGGAUGGUCCGGCUGCGGAUGGGCAUGCGUUCCAUUAGGUAGUUGGUGUAGGUAAUGGCUCACCAAGCCGACGAUGGAUAGGGGAACUGAGAGGUUGGUCCCCCACACUGGUACUGAGACACGGACCAGACUCCUACGGGAGGCAGCAGUGAGGAAUUUUGGUCAAUGGACGCAAGUCUGAACCAGCCAUGUCGCGUGAGGGAGGACGGCCCUAAGGGUUGUAAACUUCUUUUGCAGUGGAAUAAAGUUUGCCACGUGUUGGCGAUUUGCAAGUACGCUGCGAAUAAGGAUCGGCUAACUCCGUGCCAGCAGCCGCGGUAAUACGGAGGAUCCAGGCGUUAUCCGGAUUUAUUGGGUUUAAAGGGUGCGCAGGCGGGGAAUUAGGUCGGCGGUGAAAUUUCGGGGCUCAACCUCGACAGUGCCGUUGAAACCGUUUCUCUUGAGUGCGGAUGAGGUAGGCGGAAUUUGUGGUGUAGCGGUGAAAUGCGUAGAUAUCACAAGGAACACCGAUUGCGGAGGCAGCUUACUAAACCGUUACUGACGCUCAUGCACGAAGGCGUGGGGAUCAAACAGGAUUAGAUACCCUGGUAGUCCACGCAGUAAACGAUGAUUACUUGCUGUUUGCGAUACACAGUAAGCGGCGAAGCGAAAGCGUUAAGUAAUCCACCUGGGGAGUACGUUCGCAAGAAUGAAACUCAAGGAAUUGACGGGGGCCCGCACAAGCGGA
rnacentral:rRNA from 1 species